rnacentral:rRNA from 1 species
AUUGAACGCUGGCGGCAUGCUUUACACAUGCAAGUCGAACGGUAACAGGCCGCAAGGUGCUGACGAGUGGCGAACGGGUGAGUAAUGCAUCGGAACGUGCCCAGUCGUGGGGGAUAACUACUCGAAAGAGUAGCUAAUACCGCAUACGAUCUAUGGAUGAAAGCGGGGGACCGUAAGGCCUCGCGCGAUUGGAGCGGCCGCUGUCAGAUUAGGUAGUUGGUGGGGUACAGGCUCACCAAGCCAACGAUCUGUAGCUGGUCUGAGAGGACGACCAGCCACACUGGGACUGAGACACGGCCCAGACUCCUACGGGAGGCAGCAGUGGGGAAUUUUGGACAAUGGGCGCAAGCCUGAUCCAGCAAUGCCGCGUGCAGGAAGAAGGCCUUCGGGUUGUAAACUGCUUUUGUACGGAACGAAACGGCUCUGGUUAAUACCCGGGGCUAAUGACGGUACCGUAAGAAUAAGCACCGGCUAACUACGUG